GGCAACCUCUCCUGAGCUUUCAUUCCUGGUUUGGUUUUUGCUGCUAGAAGCACCUUGAAGUCUUUCUUGUUCUCAUCCUCAUUGAUUCUGACUGCUCACCAGGAGGUCAGCCAAAGCUGUGGGGUGAAAUGCCUACCUACAGCCCUGCAAAUGGAUGGAACUAGAAGAAACCAUCCUGAGUGAGGUAACCCAAUCACAAAAAGAUAAACAUGAACCCUCAUCCAGUAGCUGUUCGAAGCAGAGACAGGCACCCACAAGUAAGCACUGAACCAUACAAGUGGAAUCCAGUUGUGAAGAGGAAGGAGGAAUGAGCAAAGGAGCCAAGAUGGGGCUGGAGAAACCCGCAGAAACAGUGAACCUGACCUACUGAUAGCAUGGAG
rnacentral:lncRNA from 1 species